rnacentral:rRNA from 1 species
UGGGGAAUAUUGGACAAUGGGCGAAAGCCUGAUCCAGCCAUGCCGCGUGUGUGAAGAAGGUCUUCGGAUUGUAAAGCACUUUAAGUUGGGAGGAAGGGCAUUAACCUAAUACGUUAGUGUUUUGACGUUACCGACAGAAUAAGCACCGGCUAACUCUGUGCCAGCAGCCGCGGUAAUACAGAGGGUGCAAGCGUUAAUCGGAAUUACUGGGCGUAAAGCGCGCGUAGGUGGUUUGUUAAGUUGGAUGUGAAAGCCCCGGGCUCAACCUGGGAACUGCAUCCAAAACUGGCAAGCUAGAGUACGGUAGAGGGUGGUGGAAUUUCCUGUGUAGCGGUGAAAUGCGUAGAUGUAGGAAGGAACACCAGUGGCGAAGGCGACCACCUGGACUGAUACUGACACUGAGGUGCGAAAGCGUGGGGAGCAAACA